rnacentral:rRNA from 1 species
GUGGGGAAUAUUGCACAAUGGGGGAAACCCUGAUGCAGCCAUGCCGCGUGUGUGAAGAAGGCCUUCGGGUUGUAAAGCACUUUCAGCGAGGAGGAAAGGUCAGUAGCUAAUAUCUGCUGGCUGUGACGUUACUCGCAGAAGAAGCACCGGCUAACUCCGUGCCAGCAGCCGCGGUAAUACGGAGGGUGCAAGCGUUAAUCGGAAUUACUGGGCGUAAAGCGCACGCAGGCGGUUGGAUAAGUUAGAUGUGAAAGCCCCGGGCUCAACCUGGGAAUUGCAUUUAAAACUGUCCAGCUAGAGUCGUGUAGAGGGGGGUAGAAUUCCAGGUGUAGCGGUGAAAUGCGUAGAGAUCUGGAGGAAUACCGGUGGCGAAGGCGGCCCCCUGGACAAAGACUGACGCUCAGGUGCGAAAGCGUGGGGAGCAAACAGGAUUAGAUACCCCUGUAGUCC